rnacentral:tRNA from 1 species
AUACCCGUAGUCUAAUUGGAUAAAAUAAUGCCCUCCGACGGCGUCGUUUCGGGUUCGAGUCCCGACGGGUGUACCA